rnacentral:rRNA from 1 species
CAAUAGCGUAUAUUAAAGUUGUUGCGGUCAAAAAGCUCGUAGUUGGAUUUCUGUUGAGAGCGACCGGUCCAUACCAUGUAUGCGUAUCUGGCUUGCUCUCGGCAUCCUCUCGAUAGACGUUACUGCGCUUGAUUGCGUGGUGCGGAUCUCGGGACUUUUACUUUGAGGAAAUUAGAGUGUUCACGGCAGGCUUUCGCCAGAAUACAUUAGUAUGGAAUAAUACUAUAGGAUCUUGGUUCUAUUUUGUUGGUUUCUAGAGUUGAGAUGAUGAUUAAUAGGGACAAUUGGGGGCAUUCGUAUCAACACGUCAGAGGUGGAAUUCUUGGAUUGUGUUGCGACGAACUACUGCGAAAGCAUCUGCCAAGGAUGUUUUCAUUGA